rnacentral:rRNA from 1 species
UAUGAAGUGCAAUCGCUAGGUUGUGUGGAGUCGUUGUUGAAAUACCACCCUUUAUUUGCUUGAAAUCUAACGCGUUUACGCGAACAGUGCGUGGUGGGUAGUUUGACUGGGGUGGUCGCCUCCAAAAGAGUAACGGAGGCUUCUAAAGGUACCCUCAGCACGCUUGGUAACCGUGCGUAGAGUGCAAUAGCAUAAGGACGCUUGACUGUGAGACCGACAAGUCGAGCAGGGACGAAAGUCGAGUAUAGUGAUCCGGUGGUUCCGCAUGGAAGGGCCAUCGCUCAAAGGAUAAAAGGUACUCCGGGGAUAACAGGCUGAUUCCUCCCAAGAGUCCACAUCGACGGAGGAGUUUGGCACCUCGAUGUCGGCUCAUCACAUCCUGGGGCUG